UACAGAGGGGGCAAGCGUUGUUCGGAAUUACUGGGCGUAAAGGGCGCGUAGGCGGCCCGCUAAGUCGAACGUGAAAUCCCCGAGCUCAACUCGGGAACUGCGUCCGAGACUGGCGGGCUUGAAUCCGGGAGAGGGAUGCGGAAUUCCAGGUGUAGCGGUGAAAUGCGUAGAUAUCUGGAGGAACACCGGUGGCGAAGGCGGCAUCCUGGACCGGCAUUGACGCUGAGGCGCGAAAGCUAGGGGAGCAAACGGG
rnacentral:rRNA from 2 species